rnacentral:rRNA from 1 species
UGCCAGCAGCCGCGGUAAUACGAAGGGACCUAGCGUAGUUCGGAUUUACUGGGCUUAAAGAGUUCGUAGGUGGUUAGAAAAGUUAGUGGUGAAAUCCAGAGCUUAACUCUGGAACUGCCAUCAAAACUUUUUAGCUAGAGUAUGAUAGAGGAAAGUGGAAUUUCUAGUGUAGAGGUGAAAUUCGUAGAUAUUAGAAAGAACACCAAAUGCGAAGGCAACUUUCUGGAUCAUUACUGACACUGAGGAGCGAAAGCAUGGGUAGCGAAGAGGAUUAGAUA